rnacentral:rRNA from 1 species
AGGCAGCAGUAGGGAAUCUUCCACAAUGGACGAAAGUCUGAUGGAGCAACGCCGCGUGAGUGAUGAAGGGUUUCGGCUCGUAAAAACUCUGUUGUUGGAGAAGAACAGGUGUGAGAGUAACUGUUCACAUCUUGACGGUAUCCAACCAGAAAGCCAC